UUCCGGUUGAUCCUGCCGGAGGCCAUUGCUAUCGGGGUCCGAUUUAGCCAUGCUAGUCGCACGGGUUCAGACCCGUGGCGAACAGCUCAGUAACACGUGGCCAAGCUACCCUGUGGACCCGGACAACCUCGGGAAACUGAGGCUAAUCCGGGAUAACGAUCCCAGGCUGGAGUGCCGGGAGCGUGAAACGUUCCGGCGCCACAGGAUGCGGCUGCGGCCGAUUAGGUAGACGGUGGGGUAACGGCCCACCGUGCCGAUAAUCGGUACGGGUGGUGAGAGCCAGAGCCCGGAGAUGGAAUCUGAGACAAGAUUCCAGGCCCUACGGGGCGCAGCAGGCGCGAAACCUUUACACUGCACGACAGUGCGAUAAGGGGACCCCGAGUGCGAGGGCAUACAGUCCUCGCUUUUGUGUACCGUAGGGAGGUACACGAAUAAGGGCUGGGCAAGACCGGUGCCAGCCGCCGCGGUAAUACCGGCAGCUCAAGUGAUGGCCGCUGUUAUUGGGCCUAAAGCGUCCGUAGCCGGCCGCACAAGUCCGUCGGGAAAUCCACCCGCCUAACGGGUGGGCGUCCGGCGGAAACUGUGCGGCUUGGGACCGGAAGACUCGAGGGGUACGUCCGGGGUAGGAGUGAAAUCCUGUAAUCCUGGACGGACCGCCGGUGGCGAAAGCGCCUCGAGAGGACGGAUCCGACGGUGAGGGACGAAAGCUAGGGUCUCGAACCGGAUUAGAUACCCGGGUAGUCCUAGCCGUAAACGAUGCUCGCUAGGUGUGGCGCAGGCUACGAGCCUGCGCUGUGCCGUAGGGAAGCCGUGAAGCGAGCCGCCUGGGAAGUACGUCCGCAAGGAUGAAACUUAAAGGAAUUGGCGGGGGAGCACUACAACCGGAGGAGCCUGCGGUUUAAUUGGAUUCAACGCCGGG
rnacentral:rRNA from 1 species